AGUGGGGGACCUUCGGGCCUCAUGCCAUCAGAUGUGCCCAGAUGGGAUUAGCUAGUAGGUGGGGUAAUGGCUCACCUAGGCGACGAUCCCUAGCUGGUCUGAGAGGAUGACCAGCCACACUGGAACUGAGACACGGUCCAGACUCCUACGGGAGGCAGCAGUGGGGAAUAUUGCACA
rnacentral:rRNA from 1 species